CUGCAGUGAUGAGUCAUGAAGUGACUGAUCUGGUAUUGCCGCCCUCCGGGGAGGGCUCUGACCAGGGCAUGAUCUCAAGUUAAUCUUCUCUCUGAGCAG
rnacentral:snoRNA from 1 species